AUGAUGCCUAAAGUUGCUGAUUUUGGUCUAUCGAGGUGCUUUGAUGAAAAACAAAGCCAGACUAUUGCUUCAAAACUGAUUGGAACUAUGGGAUAUGUGGCACCAGAAUUCUAUGCGUGCAGGAACAUCACAUUCAAGUUAGACAUAUAUAGUCUUGGCAUGAUAAUCACAGAGAUACUAACAGGAGAGAAGGGAUAUGCUGAUAUUGACAAUGUAAGACGUGUCCACGUGAUGGCAAUUUCGCAGGUACUUGAGAAGUGGAAAAGUAGGUUGGAUCAAUCACAGGCAGACACACAACUGGUACAAGUACAAGUAUGCGCUGAGAUAGUAAUAGAGUGCACCGACUUUAACCCAGCAAAAAGACCAGAUACACAGCAUAUAAUGGAUAGACUUGGUACAACAAAAAGUGCAGAUGAGUCUGCUACUGAAACUGGGGCAAAAAUCCAGGUAAUUAAGCUUAGACAAAAAUCCACUGUGCCCCCUUGUCCCACAAUUGAUCCCAAGAAUACGAUGGUUGAUGCAUUGAAGAUAUCGACAAAAGAACUGUACAAGAUGGCAUAUCAAAACACAUGUUUCAGCUCCACGCCACACAAUGCCUCUAAUAUGCAGCAAGAUACUGACAGAAGAGAAACAGCAUCAGAUGUGGAAGAAGCACUGAUUGUCGGGAGAACUGAAGAAAAACAGAAAAUAGUGGCUACUUUAUCUGGGAGAAUAACACCAGAGUUUACUGUCCUUCCAAUAUAUGGCUUUGGAGGUAUUGGCAAGACAACCUUGGCUCAGUUAGUUUUCAACGAUUCCCAGUUCAUAGACUACUGUAAGGUGUGGGUCUAUGUGUCCCAAAAUCUUGACCUCAAUAAAAUUGGCAACUCUAUAAUAUUACAGUUAUCAGCAGAGAGCCAUGUAGCUGAAAGGCAGAUGAUACAUAAUAAACUUCAGAGUGCUACUUGUUGA
rnacentral:rRNA from 1 species